GAUAUAAUUGAAGAUAUUGGUUCAACCACAACUUGCAACUUUCUGUUGGCUUCCCAACGCAAAUCCAAUGGAAAAACCACCAGGAAACUACACUUUCCAGGCAACUCACAAACAGGCUAGAGGGCAGAAUGGAAAAGAAGAAUCCUGGAAAACGGACUUGAGUUUAUAGAGCAAAGCCAGAAAGUUAUACAUCAAGAGAAUACUGAAAAUGUUCCCAGGCUAGAAUGUCAGAAUAAUGUAUACAUUUCAGAGCUAGCUGCAUCAUAGUAGGUAACAGCUUCAUGCUAAGACAUUUUAUUGAAAAAUGUACCUCUUUUAGCAGCAACCUUUUUUUUAUUAUACUGAGAUUGAUCAAAAUACCCCAUUAAUGGCAAGAUGGAGCAAGGUGAAAUAGCAGCAGGAAAAAAAAAGAAAGCUGAAGUAGAUGCAUGGAAAAUAGUUAAUGACUUACUGCAAAAUGGGUCUUUGUCUGAAGUAUCAAAGUAAGCUGUUGUCAUGGGAAGAUUCUUUUCAAGUAAAUGAUCCUUCCAUUUAUCAGCAUAAUAUCCUGGAAUUGAAAUAUAUUAAAUACAAAAUAAACAAACAAAUGCAAAACAUACUAAA